GGGAAUGUGGCUCAGUUGGUAGAGUGCUUGCCUCACAUGCAUGAAGCCCUGGGUUCAAUUCCUCAGUACCA
rnacentral:tRNA from 1 species